UACGGGGGGGGCAAGCGUUGUUCGGAAUUACUGGGCGUAAGGGGCUCGUAGGUGGCCAACUAAGUCAGACGUGAAAUCCCUCAGCUUAACUGGGGAACUGCGUCUGAUACUGGAUGGCUUGAGAUUGGGAGAGGGAUGCGGAAUUCCAGGUGUAGCGGUGAAAUGCGUAGAUAUCUGGAGGAACACCGGUGGCGAAGGCGGCAUCCUGGACCAACACUGACACUGAGGAGCGAAAGCCAGGGGAGCAAACGGG
rnacentral:rRNA from 1 species